CCCGCUGGCGCUGCUCAUCCAAGGCAGCACCUCUGCUUUGCUCCUCCAUAAAUUCCCAUGGCACAAGAGGCAUUUAAAAGCCAAAGCAGUGCAGGUGUGGCUGCUUCCUGGGGUUAUCAGGUAGCUGAAGCAAAAGCUAUCAGGUAGUUUUCCACUCUUUGGAGAUGGAGUGUCCAUGCUCUGUGCCUGGCGCCAGUGCCUGCAGCAGCAAAUCCCAAAUGUGAGGGUUUCCCUGGCACCGCAUGCCGAAGGGGCUCCUCCAUCGAGACGACGUGCUCCUGAAGUACACUUCUGAAUGCCUGUAAUAUCGGUAAGAGUCCUGCGGCUGCUGGAGGUUGGGGUACUUAAACAUCUCUCCGAAGUAAUUAGUUGUGCUUUUAAAUUACUUACAGUUCCUGUCGUGCUGUAGGGGAUGUGUCAGGUUGUGACAAAGAAGGGAGCACGAAGCCAGCAGAGCAGGACGUGUGGUGGCAUCUGUGAUUUUUAAGCAUGCCACACAAGGUCACCUCUGCGCUCUCCCUGCACCCAGAGCCACUAUCUCCUGCCUGCCUGCUCAUCACAGUGUUCAGUGGUCUUUGCCAUGAAAUCGUUCAUUUUCUUUCACUCUUCUGUUCCCCUCAUAGCCAUCAGGACGUGCCCUUGACAGCGCCACGCGCCUUUAAGCCAAGCAAGCAAUAACACAGGAGAGGAUUUGCAGCCAUCGUGUCUUUUAUUGAGUGCAUUAAAGACAUGAGAUCAAAGGCUGGCUACUUUCAGCGCUACAAGAGUUCCCGUGGCACAUUACUAGGGAAAUUUUUUUCUACCAGUUCAAAUGGCUAUGCUAAUUUUCCAUUCAGCCUCUGUUUUUUUCCCUAAGCUCACAGGAUGAGUAAGGAUGUCCUCUGGCUUCUCCCAUCACAGACACUGCCUCACAGUGCUCUUGUCCUGAUCUGACCUGGCUGUCACGAAGCUCACUGUGGGUUUUGUACCUGUGCUCUGACUGUUGGGCUGGACCGGGACAUCACUGCUCUGCCGGAGAGAAACCUUUUGCAUUUCAGCCCAGGUUUCUCCACCGUGGAUCUUUGACCAUAUUCCAGCUUGUGCAGCCACCUCCACCGAGCACGUCCACGGAGCCAGACAAGUUUCUGGGCAGAUACCAAAUGUGGAGGUGCUCUGCCCCCAGCGCUGUGUGCUCCACGGGAAGCCUGAGACUGGGGUCAGGGCAAUAAAUACACCUUUCUUUCCUCACAUUGCAUUGCUUGAGCACCCAGUACCAUUUCCAGGGCCUGUCAGGUGCUGUGGAAAAAGCACUGCAGAGCAGCAACAUCCUAAGAAAGAGCAUCCAGAGGUGCCCAAGCUCUUCAGUGACUUGGGAGACAGCCAUAGGAACAGAGGUGCAGUGGCUACACUCGCAGAAGGAUGA
rnacentral:lncRNA from 1 species